rnacentral:lncRNA from 1 species
AUAGAGGAAGUGUGCCAUCUGUAAUUCAAGACUGUCUUUCCUGCCCUCCUCAGUGCCUCCUUCACUGAUAUGAAGUUAAAACAAGGUACUGUGAUUGCUCACUUGAUCUUUGGUUCUUAUGAAGGUGCUUUUUUGUGUAGAUAGUUGUUAAAUUGGUGUUCCUGUGGGAGGGAUGAUAGAUAGGUCAAGUGUUCUAUGUGGCUAUCUUGCUUUGCCCUCUCCUACAAUUUCUUAUUCAUCUAUUUUCCUCUGUUAGCUCUUAUCUGCUUGAACUAACUAGAAUGAAUUUUUAGUAGUUCAUUUCUGGUGCUAUAACAACAACAACAACAACAACAACAACAACAAACAAGCAAACAAAAAACAGAAACUGGUUAGCUUAUAAAUAACAGAAAUUUAUUUCUAACAUUUACGGAGGCUGAGAAGUCCAAGAUCAAGGUGUUAGCUAAUUCAGGAUGUGGUGAGAGCCCACUUUUUGGUUCACAGAAGGUGCCUUCUCAUGGCAUCCUCACAUGGUGGAAGUGACAAAUGAGAUUUUAAAAAUCUCUUUAUAAGGGCACUAACCCCAUUAAUGAGAGCACCAUCCAUCAUCAUGACCAAAUUACCUCUGAAAGGCCCUACCUGUUAAUACCAUCAACUUGGGGGUAUGACUUCAACAUAUAAAUUUUAGGGGACACAAACAUUCAGACUUUAGCAGAAUUCUGUUGUCUACCUACAGGUGAAAUUUGAGUUACACAAUAAUUGCUUCAUCAAGUGGUUGCCGGUAAUCAAUAUUCAAAGAAAUCUUAAUAUUUGGUUGACUAUGUGGCAAGGUCUAAUUAUCAUUAACAGAUAGGAUUUGUUUCCAUGACAACCAGUGGUAAAACAUUUAAAUUAUGUCUUGUGAUAAUGCUAGAAUGAAGUCCUAUUAAAGACAAAGCUGUCUAAACUGAGUGACUGCUGUGAUAGUCCAUUAACGGUAGUUCAAGCAUAAAAAGACUGUGUGGGUGGAAUGGCUACUUCAGACUGUACUGCAGAGCUUUGAAUGCAUCAAAAUAUGACCAGGGAACCCAGAUAUUUCUAUGAUUGCCUUAAGAUGAUGUCUUAUCUCUUAUAUCAGCAGA